AAUGAACGUUGGCGGCAUGGAUUAGGCAUGCAAGUCGAGCGAGAAGGGUUUUGAAGCUUGCUUUAGAACCCGGAAAGCGGCGCAAGGGAGAGUAACGAGUAGUUAUCUACCCCAAGGCCCGGAAUAGCUGCGGGAAACUGCAGGUAAUGCCGGAUAAUAUCCCCGGAUCAAAGGUGUGAUUCCGCCUUGGGAGGAGACUGCUUCGUACUAGCUAGUUGGUAGGGUAAUGGCCUACCAAGGCUACGAUGCAUAGCGGGCGUGAGAGCGUGGCCCGUCUCACUGGGACUGAAACACUGCCCAGACACCUACGGGUGGCUGCAGUCGAGAAUCUUCGGCAAUGGGCGAAAGCCUGACCGAGCGAUGCCGCGUGCGGGAUGAAGGCCCUCGGGUUGUAAACCGCUGUCGUAGAGGAGAAAGGUCUGAUGAAGAAUCAGAUUUGAUCUAUUCUAGGAGGAAGUCGGAGCUAAGUUCGUGCCAGCCGCCGCUGUAA
rnacentral:rRNA from 1 species